CAGGAGAAGCAAACUGUUUGCUGCUGCUUGUAUCACUUGAUGAUACUAUACCUUGAUGCGCUCGUACAUGACAUCCCAGUAAGCAACUGCGCGAUACGAUCGAAUGCAUGGGAUAGUACUCUAAUUGCCAAGGUGAUCAAGAAGGAUACUAUCUCUCCUGGUGUGUUCGGCAAAUUACAACUUAAAGAGGAGUAUAGAGGCACGGAGCAGACACCACUGUUUGGUGGAAUUUUGCAAGCUGAAGCAUUUGUGGC